UCAGAAAGCUCCAUGCCACAAGGUCGGCACAAAGCAACAAGGGCCACUGACACGCCGGAGCCCUCACCUACACGCGGCCCACAUGUAAUGCCAGCAACUCAUGCAGUGACAGGUAGGUUGUUAGUCAGAGGCCAAGCCGAUUUACCCCGCUCUUGGCUCUUUGCAGUCGCUCUGGGCCUCAGAUCUCACUCACCUUCUCGCUCAUGUCAUGAACGUAACGGGAGAGGAAAGCCCAGCUGCCCAGGAAUGGAUUUCACUGCAAGCAAAGGUAGUGGAAGGGAUGGGUGGCUGCACUACUGCAACAUUAAGGAAUCCAGUAAAAUUCUCUCUGGACUGGACUAUAUGGAUCCUGGAAUCUGAAGCCUGCAGGCAUGGGGACAGAAGGAACAUCAUGCCUACCUCGACCAAAUUACAUCCCACUACUUUCGGUUUCUUUUGCGCCACGGAAGAGGCAUGGUGUAAAGAAUGCAGGUUAUUGAGAAUUUGCCGUGGUAUAUAUAUCAUAAAAACACACGCACACGACUUAUGUCCGAUGAUAUUAUUUCUAGAUUUGCUAUUUGUUUCAGGCAUUGUCAAAAGCUAUUUGCAUAUAAAUUAUAAUCAGAAAUAUAUAGUGGUCAAAGUGAUUGUAUUUGAGAAAUUUUAAUUUGGAUGUUUAAAAUGACAAAUAAAUUAUAAAGUGCUUAGGCCUCAUAGGGCUGGGUAGAGUGAACUAACAGAUCCGUGUGCCAGGCUAUGCCAAGCUCGGCCUAACUAUUCUAAGCCCAAGGUCAUUCGGGCCUAGAAAAAGUUCAGGUAUCUUGUAACUUACUAUAGCACUUAUUCUAUUAAGUUUCUAUACACAACUUUAUUUUCUUUAUAUUGAAUAUAAAGUCUAUUGUAUUGAGAUACUUUUAAAUUUUGAGGGCAGCACAAAGUUGAAUCAAAUGCAUAUGCACGGUACGCAUGGCAAGAAAUUUAAGAUAAAAAUGUAUUCCCAUUGGACCAUUUUUUAUGGACACAUAUUAAAUGAGAAAAACACAUAAAAAGGAGAAAAAUGAAGUAAAGGAAUGAUGUAUUUCAUGUAAGAGCACAUGUGGUCUCUCAUCUCAAUAUAUUUAACUCCAUAGUCAUAUUUGUCCUAGAAUUUAGCAUUUCACCUAUGCAAAUAGGCGUAUAUAUGGUGUAGAACCAUAAUUACCCAUACAACCAUAAAAAUCUGGAUUGAACCAAUACGUACACAACAAUAUCGCCUAGCCAAUAUUAAGUCAAUCUAUUUUUCUUAGUUACUGAAAGAAUAUCGCCUAAUCCAAGCAAUUUAUUUUUCUUCACAAUGUGUGUUAACAUAUAAUUCCAUAUAAGAACAACUAUCUAUAUCAUGAUUUGCAAGCCACUCAAUCUGUUAGAUCAUAUCUGUUAAAAUAAUGGGCAAAUAAUAUAUAUACUGCCUCCGUUCUUAAAUUAUGACAACAAUUGAUGUUUUGUCCAGACUUUGACCAACAAUAUUUAUUUAAUGAAUUAGUCAAAUAAAUAAAAUGAGAACCACUAUAUCAAUCAUUAAAAGUAUUUUAGAUUUAACUAGUAAAUUUAUCCAUUUGUAUAAAUAUUUAUAAAAAAUGAACAAUCAAAUAAAAAAAUCAAUGAUGUUCUAUAUUUAAAUAUUUAGGCUGUGUUUAGUUCGCGAAAAAUUUGAGUUUUGGUACUGCAGCACAUUUCGUUGUUAUUUGACAAUUAAUAUCCAAUCAUAGACUAAUUAGGUUUAAAAGAUUCCUCUCGUAUGAAACCGUUAUACUAUAUAAUUAGUUAUUUUUAAUUAUAUUUAAUAUUCUAUGCAUAUGUCUAAAGAUUCGAUGUGACGGGUAUUGUAUGAAUUUUUUUGGAAAUUAAACACGGUCUUAAGAACUAAGUUAGCAUUUUGACUUGCCUUACCUGUCGAAACUUUCGGGUGACGUGAUGUAGGCAGCACUAUGGAUGCAAAUAGGUACCCAUUGGUGUUUUUUGAUUCGUCAUUUUAAUUUAUUUUCUCUUCCAAACUAAUUAUAUUGCAUGCUAUUCUAAUUUAUUUUAUUAAAUUUUGGAUCGAUCCAACGACCCGAAAAGGUGGGACUUGCAUCACUAGUCAGCACCCAUCCAUACUACCGAGUACGGACUCUCACAGAUCACAGAUCGACGACACAUAUUCUCCAUCAGAUUGUAUGCAAAGAGACACGUAGAUAGUCCAAGAACUCGAACUGUUCAGUGGUAAGAAGCCAAUCUCAGUGUGUUGCCCAGCGCAACACGGCACACAGGCAAUGGCAAACGUAAGCAUGCAGGCCGCACUAGUGUUCCAGAGAGAGGCAGACAUGAGACAUCGAUCGACCGACCACCUUGACCUAGGAGCUAGCUAGGUCACCUGCCGGCAGUACACGCUGGUCUAGUGAUCUAGAGGCUGUCACGAGCUGAGUGAGGUGAGACUUGAGAAGAGCACGUACGCAAACAGUCCUUCACACAGGGCACGUUUAGUUCCCAAAAAUUUCCGUGUCAGUAACUUCGAAUAUUUGACCACUAAUUAAAAAUAUUAAAUAUAAAUAAUUGACAAAACUCAUUCCACAACCCCCGGCAAAAUCGCGAGACGAAUCUAAUGAAACUAAUUAUAUAAUGAUUAGAUAAUGUCGUGCUACAGUAAUCAAUCUCUAAUGAUGAAUUAAUUAGGCUUAAUAGAUUCGUCUCGCGAUUUUCCGUCCAUCCAUGUAAUUAUAUUUAUAAUUAAAUUAUAUUUAGUCCUCCUAAUUUUUGGUUGAAAUUGUUACAGUAAUUUUUCUCAAAAAAUUUUGGGGGCUAAACGCGCCCACAGUGGGCCGUGGCAUCUCCAGGAAUGAGAGUCCCAUCAUGCAGUAUUGCAGUAGUCUCUGGAAUCUGGAUUGGUCACUUGGUACGAAGAAAGGCGAGGGAAGCACACAAUUGGGGUAGCUGUAACGUGUAGGCUGUAGCUCCUUCCUCUGCGAGACCAAGAGACAGGCCAGGUACUCGGUGUGAUUUGAGGUCUCAUGCAUAUUCUGCGAGCUUUAUUGAACUGCUCGAUAGAUCUCCGACCGAAGCCAAGCAAUCUGUUCUCAAAGAACCGCCACUUCGAAUUCACGCAGCAGUUCAAGAAAGCUGUGGAAGAUCGCAAAGAGGGCCAUGUCAUGCAGAUCCAAUCCAAUACGCAUGCAAUUACCCCCGGUGUGAUCGGAAAAGGGGAAGACAGAAGAAAGAGACGAUGAGAUCCAAUCCAAGAAGAGGGGAGGGGGGGGGGGUGGAGAAUGCCUGCCCAACCUAGGGAUUCAAGAUAAGAGAGAUGGAGUGUCGGGGGAGGAGGGAAGAGGAGAAGAAAUGAUGUGCGACCAUUUAGAGCAAGGCUUAUAACCCAGUCCGUUGCGGGCUGGGAACAGGCCACGGCAUACAUCGGUGGCAGUGGACUCGUUACCAAUUAAUACUAUCUGUGGGUGCAGCAGUCCGCAUGCAGAGAGAGCAGCUGCGACACAGUUCUCUUCGCCGGUUUGAAGCCGGCUGGGAACGGAGCGCCGGCCGUCUUCUUUUUUCUUCUCUCUCUCCGCCAGCGAGGACUUUUUUGCUGACAUAGAUUCCUCCCAGCCGGUGAAUAGUCCUCAUAAUACUUGCUGUUAGGGAAAUUUGUAUGUAGCACAUUCUGAAUGAGUGGUUUGUGUGGAGCACACCGUGAAAGC